rnacentral:rRNA from 1 species
GAUGAACGCUGGCGGCGUGCCUAAUACAUGCAAGUCGAGCGAACAGACGAGGAGCUUGCUCCUCUGACGUUAGCGGCGGACGGGUGAGUAACACGUGGAUAACCUACCUAUAAGACUGGGAUAACUUCGGGAAACCGGAGCUAAUACCGGAUAAUAUAUUGAACCGCAUGGUUCAAUAGUGAAAGACGGUUUUGCUGUCACUUAUAGAUGGAUCCGCGCCGCAUUAGCUAGUUGGUAAGGUAACGGCUUACCAAGGCAACGAUGCGUAGCCGACCUGAGAGGGUGAUCGGCCACACUGGAAAUGAGACACGGUCCAGACUCCUACGGGAGGCAGCAGUAGGGAAUCUUCAGCAAUGGGCGAAAGCUUGACGGAGCAACGCCGCGUGAGUGAUGAAGGUCUUCGGAUCGUAAAACUCUGUUAUUAGGGAAGAACAAAUGUGUAAGUAACUAUGCACGUCUUGACGGUACCUAAUCAGAAAGCCACGGCUAACUACGUG